AUACGUAGGUGACAAGCGUUAUCCGGAUUUACUGGGCGUAAAGCGCACGCAGGCGGUUUGUUAAGUCAGAUGUGAAAUCCCCGGGCUCAACCUGGGAACUGCCUCUGAUACUGGCAAGCUUGAGUCUCGUAGAGGGGGGUAGAAUUCCAGGUGUAGCGGUGAAAUGCGUAGAGAUCUGGAGGAAUACCGGAGGCGAAGGCGGCCCCCUGGACGAAGACUGACGCUCAGGUGCGAAAGCCUGGGGAGCAAACAGGAUUAGAUACCCUGGUAGUCCACGCCGUAAACGAUGUCGACUUGGAGGUUGUGCCCUUGAGGCGUGGCUUCCGGAGCUAACGCGUUAAGUCGACCGCCUGGGGAGUACGGCCGCAAGGUUAAAACUCAAAUGAAUUGACGGGG
rnacentral:rRNA from 1 species